ACGUGAUCUGAGUUCAGACCGGAGCAAUCCAGGUCGGUUUCUAUCUAUAAGGGGCUUUUUCCAGUACGAAAGGACCGAAAAAGCAUGGCCUCUGUUACAAGCAAGCCACUACCAAACUUAUGAAAUAAUCUUAAUACCCCCCCAUCAACCCUCCCUUARAAAAAGGCU
rnacentral:rRNA from 1 species